GUCCAUUCGGCGACAUCCAAUAAAAUUGGAACGAUACAUAGAAAAUUAGCCCCUACGCAAGAAUGACACAUACAAAUCAAGAAAUGGAUCCCUACGCA